GCACAAUAAUGUGAAUGUACUUAAUGCCACUUAAAUAUACAAUUAAAAAUGGUUAAGACAGUAUGUUAAGCAUAUUUUACCACCAUUAAAAAUUUUUUAAAUUAAAAAUUACCCAAAAAGGUUACUUGGCUGAGAAUAGAAAGAGGUGAGAAAAUUGAAAUUGCCUUUAUAAAUGAGAGCUCUAGCAUUUUUGCCUGCGAUCUCUCUAUCUUAUGAUAUGCAUCUACAGCCAGAUCAAUGACAACAACAUGUUUAUUUGUUUUUUUUUUACAUUCAAAAUAAUGGUACAAUUAAAGAGAAGACUUCUACAGGUCUGUGGUGCCAGACCUACACAUAGGGAAAAUAGUUGACUGCUUACAUACACGAUUGGAAGUACUCUAAAAACCUUUACCUCAACCCCAAAAUAUAACCGUUUGAAAAGGAACUCAUUAACCAACGUAGAGAAGAAAUCUGAGCUCAAAUUCAAGACACUGGUUCAUACUGGAAAAAGCAGGCCAAUUGCGAAAGCCAAGUAAGGAAGCCAGGGUAUGAGUCCAUGGUACUAGACUGGGCAAGAGCAUCUAGGCAGAAACUCAGUCUCAGAAUACAGGUAAGAUUUACAUUAAUACCAAGAACACAGGCAUUCCUGUUCUGGAAUACAUUCCAGGGUGAGAGAUCAGACUAUCAUCUUAAAAAUCUGAGUAAGGUCUUAACAGCACAAGCAGGCCUAAAUGGCGAAUCAGAGGCAAAGAUAUUCAAUCAGGAAAUGCCUGCCUUUUGGAAUUUUUCCCCUCUUUCAUCACUCUUGGUAGGGCAGAUAACAUUGUGUAGCUGUGUACUACUUCCUGUUGUGACACAAUUCUCCAUAGGUAUCUGGUGUUUCUGCACAUCUAGUGAGCAGAGGUACUGAAUGGCUUUGUUCCAGACUAGCGUUCCAAGGAUGUUUGCAUAGUUAACAGCCUUAAAAGACUGAGACAGUGGCUCCCUCUGGAACAAAGAGAAGAUAUUACUGCUGAUUAUAAAUUAUUUGGGUUCCCUAAGCUCAAGAUUCAUCUCCUGUAACUGACCCACUGCGUGUGCAAAUAUCACUUGGCCCUCUUUAUAUUGCCCUGUGGGAAUUGGGGCUGAGGAAACUGGUGCAAGGAAAUGCUGUACUGUGACUACUGCUAUUUGAUGUGACUAAUAAAAUCCUUUGCCUCUUAUUCAGAAAUCUGUGUUUUUUUAACAGCAUUUAUGAAAUUGUAACAGCUUGCAAGUAGGGCGAGAUCUCAAACAUAUCAGUUCCUGACAACUCCUGAGGGAAGGCUCUACAGGUGCCUAUAGUAAGGACCCAUUUCAUCUUUCGAGGCAAUAAUAAUAAGAUUAACAACAAUAUUAAUAAUAAAAUAUACUACUUGCACACGAACUUAAAAGUUUAAAGAAAAGAAAAAAGAUUUUUAAAAGAUACUACCAUAUUUUACCAUUUAUUAUAUCACUGAUUGGUGGUUGUGUUUUUGGCAGUGGUAUUUGGAUUUUCUUAGUUGGUAAGGUAAUUUUUUUGACUGAUUCCACAAGUGAUUACACAAGUGAAAAAACAUUUAAUAAAAAUUUGUUUACUGAAUAGACAAAUGUAUAAACAGCCUUGACACAUUUGUUGUAUUGGUCAACUCAAUUAAUUGCUGCCAGAUGAAUGAAUGAAUGAACAUUUGCUGAGUGUCUAGCAUUCAUGUAGGUACUCUUCUACUUUGUCCUAUCAAGUUCUCCACUUACCCAAGCAACCCACUUUACAGGUAGAUUAUUUAAAAUAAGGGGACCCAGGUCAUUGCAAAGAGGGCUUGUGGGGCUGUGAAACCGGGGGCUUUUAACGUACUGACCAAAGACGGAUGUUCUCCAUGAGAAGCUAUAGUCACAAUCAUGACACAAUUGAUGACUGGUGAUGUGGGAAGGUAAAUAAGUGUUUCGAAAUUUAAAAAAAAAAAAAAAAAGGAGACCUGAUCCAAACUAACAUCAUGAAUGAUAACUCAAGUGUUUAUCAUUUAUAUCUUGGUAUGAUGUGAAUAAGAAAGGGCAUAUUACUUCUGUGGCAUUCUUCCCAAACAUCCGUAACUCCAGUCUGAUCAUGAGAAAUCAUCAGCCAAACCCAGAUUGACUGAAAUUUUCCAAAAUAUUGUGUUCAGUGUUCUUCAAAGUGUCAAAGUCAUGAAAAACAAGGAAAGACUGGUAAAAAAAAAAAAAAAAAUGCCACAGGUUGGAGGAAACUAAGCAGACAUGAUGACAAAAUAAAACAUGAAAUCCUGAAUCGUAUCCUGAACAGAAAAAGGACAUUUGUGGGGAGACUGGUGAAAUCUGAACACAGUCUGCAGUUUGGUUAAUAAUAAUGUAUCAAUGUUAAUUUCUUAGUUUUGAUAAAUCUGCCAUGGUUAUGUAAGAUGUCAAUGAGAGGAGAAGCUGGGUGAAGGUUACACAAGAACUUUCUCUAUUUUUCCCACUCUUCUGUAAGCUUAAAAGUAUUUCAAAAUAUAAAGUUAAAAUAUGGAAGGAAAAAGGUUAAAAGGGAAGAGAGAACAGCAGUUAGCAGGGCUAUCAUGUUUCUAGUUGACAAAGUUCUUCCAAAACAACCUUAUAUCGGCUGCUAGGCCUGCUAAACUUUCUUUUCCCAGCUCUGUAACUGUCUUCAUCAUGCUUCCUUCUGCAGUUUUAGUCAGAAACAAAAUCAAUUGAAAAGCAGACAACAAAGUGCAAUCCCAACAACCUCUCAUCCCCUGAACCCACUCCUGAUGAUUAUCAAGUUGCUCCACAUUCUCCAGCCUUUGAGUACAUACUGGCUUUCUGAGUUCUGAGAAGCAUUAGAUCUUCCUAAGAAUUCUAAUGGCAGUUAAAAAAAAAAAAAAAGGCAUAUCAUAGACUCUCCCCCAGUGAAGUGUAUUUUGCUGUAUUUAAGACACUUUGGAAAGUAAGGUUGUUGUAAGAGGUAAUGUUCUAAAGAAAAAUAAAAGAUUGGCCUGUAGCUGAUAUUUCAUAGUAGCUGCAUGGCCAUCUGGUUUGGUUUUGAAUCAUCCGAACUGAUUUGCAGGAAAAUGAAAUACUAAAAUCACCAUGUAGUUUUAAAUUCCAAAUCCAUCUCAGCUUUACCAAGUGGUUCCCCAUCUGCAGAAGGGAACAGCAUGCAGGCAGCCUGGCUCCAGCCUGACUCAAGCUAUAACAUAUUUGCUUGUACCUGUUACUGACAGGUCCCUUACCAAACUUGUUUUGUAAUGUCGGCUUGCAACCUUUAAUGUUGUCACCUAUGUCUUUCAUGGCGCAAGUCUUUUGAACAAGAAAUUCUUACACAAGUAACACCAAGACAGCACCAAUUAUUCUCAUCUUGGGAACUGAUUAACUCGUGACCAAAACUUCUAAAAAGCAUUCCCAAAACCUCAGCUUGCAUGUGGCUUUAUGGAUGAGUGGGAUGCUUUCACACUGGCUUCCUUUGUACCUCAGAUCUUCUUAGCAUGAAUUCCAAGUAUCAGUUUUUACUUUCCAAAGUGGUGAGAUUUCAGCAUCCUCCAUUUUUAAAAACUGGAGAGAGCAAUCUAACUUUUAGGGGCUUUAUGUUUUGCAAUGAGAGGCACUGCUGUGCCUUCUUGAUGAAAAGCACUUUGAAUUGCCACAUGAAAUAGAAACCUUUAAGCUUUAUUUAUGCAAGACAGCAAGAAGCUUUGUGGCUUUUCAUGAGGGCCUUUUCUCUGUGGCAGUAAUUUUAAUAAACUUGUGACAAAUUCCUCUUGCUGCUCUGUCCACUUUAGACCCCCUUAUUAAUUUUUUCCACUUUUCACACCAAAAUUUAUUGAAAGAAAAUCACCGUGACCCCACCUUCCCAUCUCAAUUCUACUCCCAGAAGUGACAUUCUAGAGUGCAACCAGAAAACAGACCUGAAAUGACCCAGAUGUGUAAGCAUUGAACUUAACACUGAGGAUACUACUUUUAAGUAAGAGUGAAGCAUACUUAAGGGUUAACAAAGAAAAGGGACUACACACUAGACUCAUAGUGAUUCUUUUUGGAUUCCAACACAGGACCACUUUAUAGGCUGAGGUGUCAUUUCUCAUUCCAGCAGUGCACAGGUUAAAGGCCAUCACAGAAGACGAUGCUGCAUAAAGAUACUUAAAGCCCAGAUUUUUACCUAUGAUGAAUGUAACUCAAAAAUAUUUCAGAAGAACAUGAAGAGGUAACAGCAAAGAACUUGAGCUUUGUAAGCAGACAGACCUGAAUUUCUGUCUUGACUUGGAUACUCAUCAGCUAUUUCAUGCUAAAAAGGUCAGGUAACCAGCCAGGCACAGUGGCUCACGCCUGUAAUCCCAGCACUUUGGGAGGUUGAGGCAGGUGCAUCACGAGGUCAGGAGAUUGGGACCAUCCUGGCUAACGUGGUGAAACUCCAUCUCUACUAAAAAUACAGAAAAAUUAGCCAGGUGUGGUGGCAGGCACCUACAGUCCCAGCUACUCAGGAGGCUGAGGUAGGAGAAUGGCGUGAACCCGGGAGGCGGAGCUUGCAGUGAGCAGAGAUCCCACCACUGCACUCCAGCCUGGGCAAUAGAGCGAGACUCUGUCUUAAAAAAACAA
rnacentral:lncRNA from 10 species